GAGUUUGAUCUUGGCUCAGAACGAACGUUAGCGGCGCGCCUAAGACAUGCAAGUCGAGCGAGAAAGGGAUUCGUCCCCGGUAAAGCGGCGCACGGGUGAGUAACACGUAGGUAAUCAACCCCCGAGUGGUGGAUAACCCUCCGAAAGGAGGGCUAAUACAGCAUGACACUAGCAAUAGUCAAAGCGGGCCUCUUCAUGAAAGCUCGCGCUCGAGGAUGAGCCUGCGGCCCAUCAGGUAGUUGGCGGAGUAAUAGCCCACCAAGCCAUAGACGGGUAGCUGGUCUGAGAGGAUGAACAGCCACACUGGAACUGAGACACGGUCCAGACUCCUACGGGAGGCAGCAGUCGGGAAUCUUCCGCAAUGGGCGAAAGCCUGACGGAGCGACGCCGCGUGAGUGAUGAAGGCCUUC
rnacentral:rRNA from 1 species